GUCUUCGGCCACACCACCCUGAACGCGCCCCAUCUUGUCUGAUCUCAGAAGUUAAGCAGGGUCGGGUCUGGUUAGUACUUGGAUAGGAGAUCAAAACCAGGUCCAGGAUC
ensembl:rRNA 5S_rRNA 5S ribosomal RNA